rnacentral:rRNA from 1 species
GGUGAACCUGCGGAGGGAUCAUUACACAAAGAUAUGAAGGUAGGGUACUGGCAACAGUGCUCUGCUGAAAUAUUUUCACCCAUGUCUUUUGCGCACUUUUUGUUUCCUGGGCGAGUUUGCUCGCCACCAGGACCCCCAUAUGAACCUUUUUUGUUUUUGCACUCAGCGUCAGUACAAUAAUUUAAUCUAUUAAAACUUUCAACAACGGAUCUCUUGGUUCUGGCAUCGAUGAAGAACGCAGCGAAAUGCGAUACGUAGUGUGAAUUGCAGAAUUCAGUGAAUCAUCGAAUCUUUGAACGCACAUUGCGCCCUUUGGUAUUCCAAAGGGCAUGCCUGUUCGAGCGUCAUUUGUACCCUCAAGCUUUGCUUGGUGUUGGGCGUCUUAUUGUCUCUCCGUCUCGGGGAGACUCGCCUUAAAACAAUUGGCAGCCGGCCUACUGGUUUCGGAGCGCAGCACAAAUUUGCGCUUGCAAUCAGCCAAGGGCGGCAUCCAUGAAGCCUUUUUUCUCUCACAUUUUGACCUCGGAUCAGGUAGGGAUACCCGCUGAACUUAAGCAUAUCAAUAAGCGGAGGAA